rnacentral:RNase_P_RNA from 2 species
GCGGAUGGCCGGAUGACCGCGGCGCCCCCUUGGGGGGUGUCGAGGAAAGUCCGGGCUCCAUGCAGGCAUGGUGCCGGGUAACGCCCGGCGGGGGCAACCCCAGGGAAAGCGCCACAGAGAACAGACCGCCGGCGGCGGGGCUCCCUCGAGGGGCGCGGCCGCAGGCAAGGGUGAAACGGUGGGGUAAAAGCCCACCGCGGGACGGGCAACCGGACCGGCAGGGCAAGCCCCACCAGGAGCAAUGCCGAAUAGGGAUCGCGCGCGGGGGCAACCUCGCAGGGCCGCCUGCGCCCCAGCAGAUCCGGGUUGGCAGCUUGAUCCCGUCGGCAACGGCGGGACCAGAGGAAUGGUCAUCCAGAGGGGCGCGAGCCCCUUGGACAGAACCCGGCUUACAGGCCAUCCGCGCGA